rnacentral:misc_RNA from 1 species
GAUGAAGAACGUAGCGAAAUGCGAUAAGUAAUGUGAAUUGCAGAAUUCAGUGAAUCAUCGAAUCUUUGAACGCACAUUGUGCCCGCCAGUAUUCUGGCGGGCAUGCCUGUUCGAGCGUCAUUUCAACCAUCAAGCCCCCGGCUUGUGUUGGGGACCUGCGGCUGCCGCAGGCCCUGAAAAGCAGUGGCGGGCUCGCUGUCACACCGAGCGUAGUAGCAUACAUCUCGCUCUGGGCGUGCUGCGGGUUCCGGCCGUUAAACCACCUUCAUAACCCAAGGUUGAUCUCGGAUCAGGUAGGAAGACCCGCUGAACUUAAGCAUAUCAAUAAGCGGAGGA